UGGAUUUUUCUCAGUCUGGAAUGAUCAAUUAACAGCAAGAUGGUACGUACACACAUGUAGUUUUUGCAUGCAAAGUUGGUCUCAAAAACAAACAAACCUGGCUGCCCAUAAGGAAUUGGCCAUACUGCUCCAAGAUUCCUGUGAAAAAAACA